ensembl:lncRNA
CGUCAUCAUUUUUGGCUUCCUCCCCUAAAUAAAGCAAGCCUCGAUACGCGCUUCGUGGACACGCCCCCUCCAUUACUCGACACACGCUUCGAAGCCUCGGCACGUCUCGUAACGUCACUACUGGCUGCUGUUGACCUUGUUUUUGGAGUAAAACACGGUGGAAGCUGAAUUAGUGAGGAUGACUCCUGCUCCUGUCAUCUCUAAGCUCCUCACACAUCUUUACCUGCACAUGAGGAAAAUCACUCCUGUAGAAUGCAGAUGUUCAGAGGGAGAUGAUGCCACAUCUGGUCCAGCUGAUGGAAGGUCUUGAAGUUCUCUGACUGGCCUCGACUGAAGAUGGUCGUCUCACUGGAUUUAAGGUUCAGAUGCUCAGUAACAAACUCCACCAAUGAGCCAACAGGGAAGCUUUAGGUUUAUUAAAUGUUGCUAUGAAGGUUUCGCUGUUUUUCUUUGUGAAUGCAAUGAGCUCCAACUGAAACUUGAAUUAGAACUUAGAAGUAAAUCCUUCCAUCUGAAAGGAUUUAGUUGCAUUAAUAACCUCAUAACAUUCUAAUUUUUAUUCCAGUCUUGGUUGGAAAUAGAAUCUCUGUAUUGAUUCAGGUAAAAACUGAACUUCACAGCAUGUUGGAGCAAAACAACCAGAUGAAAACUGUGAUGGUGUUGGAUUGUCAGACCGUAAUGUUGCAGCUCAAAGCAGCUUUUCUAUCUCAGUUCAUUCUGACAUUCAGCUAUGAAUCAACACAGCAGAUGGUGAUCCAUGCUGUGGAAGUCUCACAUCUCCUGAUUUAAUGGAGCUGCUUUGCACUUUUUACACUGUUUAUUCACCAACACUUUAUUUAAUAAAAGUCCAUCUAGUUUUUAUGAGGAAUGUGAUGUUUUAAUUUCUCUGUGAAUAACUGCAGUCUAAUGCAACAGCUGGAGUUGUAACAUCUGUCCUGAUAUUGAUCAUGAAGUAUUGAUCAGAAUACUUAUGGUCAGCAGUCAUCCCUGAAGUUUUACAUUAAAAUCUUUACUUGUGUUGUGAACUUUGGUAAGAAGCAGAAACUUUAGCGUUGCCAUGGAUACAUGAGUGUUAAAUUCUGUCCAUGUUUCCAUUUUGGGAAAUUCAGUCCAGCAGAUGAGUUUGUUUUUACUGCCAGCAACCAUUCAGUCUGAGAUAUUAAGAAUAAAUAAAUGUGCAUAAUGUGGAAAUGAACAGAUUCUAUUUUUAUUUAUACCUACAGCUGCUGGUAAAGUUCCAGAAUGUGGAGGAAUUUAGUCUCACAAUCACAGACAAUAAAUAUUAUCUGAAAGUCAGGUUAUUGUUGUUUAUCAGCACAAUACAAAAAGAUUAAUGUUAGAAAUAUUCCAGUUAAGACUCUAGAAUAUCAGGAUUUAUGUAAAUUUACCUCAAUAAUAUGAAUGUUCAGGUUAAGAUUGUACAGUGAUAUUUAUUAUGUAAGUUUAGCUGAUUAAAGUUUAUGACUCUGCACUAAAAUAUUAUGUAUUUAAAUUGACAUCAUUAUUAUAAUAUUUAGGGUCAGACCCUACAGUAUUGAGAUUAAGAAAUCAAAUAUUCUAUAAAAUAUAAAUACACUGAACUCAUUUGGAUAUAUUUAAGUGAGACUCUACAAUAUUAUUUGACACAAAUCUAUCUAAAUCAAAACUUUAAUCAUUUUUACUCCAAACAUUUACUGGACUGAUUUAAACAUUAAAAUCACUCCUUUCUAAUCCUCUGCUGUACGUUCAAACCUGAGGCCUUAAAUAGAAACACACAAGUAUCUGAUUGAAGGAACUUCUGCAGAGUCCUGGUUCCAGAACAUGAUGAUAGAAUUAUAGACAAACUUUAACAAAAGCUGCCUGAGAGUUUACAGGUUUUUAUGUUAGAUUUCUUCAAUAAUUUAAUGAGAGUUAUCAGCAAAAAUCAAGUGUUCAUUUGAUGAACUUCAUUUCCUAAAACAUCCAGAAUUGGAGCUCAUAUCUUUGGCAGCUGUAAAGUUUCUGCUCCUUCAAAGUUCACAACACAAUGAAUGAAUUCCUAAAACACUCUCAAUGCUGGAGAGCGUUUGUGAUGCUGAAGCAGUGACCAGUUUUUCAGUUUCUUCUCUGGAGAUGCACAAUGAGGGACGUCUGCAGAGACUGAGAAAGAGUCUCACCACAUCCUGACAUGAGGAAAAAGACUUUAUUGAAGACUACAAUGAGAAAAACUAUCAGACAGCAGACGGCUGCAUUCAAGGUGAGCUCUGAACAUUUGAUCUGGAACAGGAAUUCAAUAAUGGCAGCAUGAGCUUCAUUUCAUUACUCCAAACCAUCCUUUAGGUCUACAUUUAAGGUGGAAUACUCCUUUACACCAAGAUUUUUUUGUUCUCCA